rnacentral:tRNA from 1 species
GGAGAGAUGAGUGAGUGGACUAAAGCGUUGGAUUGCUAUUCCAUUGUACGAUUUUUUUUGUACCGAGGGUUCAAAUCCCUCUCUUUUCG